rnacentral:rRNA from 1 species
UGUAGAAUUUCUUCGGAAAGGAAGUGCCUGUGACUGACUGGCGGACGGGUGAGUAACGCGUGGGCAACCUGCCCCAUACCGGCGGACAACAGCUGGAAACGGCUGCUAAUACCGCAUACGUUUUCGGUGCCGCAUGGUGCUGAAAAGAAAACUCCGGUGGUAUGGGAUGGGCCCGCGUCUGAUUAGCUAGUUGGGAGGGUAACGGCCUACCAAGGCGACGAUCAGUAGCCGGCCUGAGAGGGCGACCGGCCACAUUGGGACUGAGACACGGCCCAGACUCCUGCGGGAGGCAGCAGUGGGGAAUAUUGCACAAUGGGGGAAACCCUGAUGCAGCGACGCCGCGUGAGCGAAGAAGUACCUCGGUAUGUAAAGCUCUAUCAGCAGGGAAGAAAGUGACAGUACCUGACUAAGAAGCCCCGGCUAACUACGUGCCAGCAGCCGCGGUAAUACGUAGGGGGCAAGCGUUAUCCGGAUUCACUGGGCGUAAAGGGAGCGCAGGCGGCGCGGCAAGUCUGAUGUGAAAGCCCGGGGCUCAACCCCGGGUCUGCAUUGGAAACUGUCGAGCUAGAGUGUCGGAGGGGUAAGCGGAAUUCCUAGUGUAGCGGUGAAAUGCGUAGAUAUUAGGAGGAACACCAGUGGCGAAGGCGGCUUACUGGACGAUGACUGACGCUG